rnacentral:rRNA from 1 species
AGGACGAACGCUGGCGGCGUGCUUAACACAUGCAAGUCGAGCGGAAAGGCCCUUCGGGGUACUCGAGCGGCGAACGGGUGAGUAACACGUGAGUAAUCUGCCCUUAGCUCUGGGAUAGCUCCGGGAAACCGGGAUUAAUACCAGAUACGACCACUUUAGACAUCUGCCGUGGUGGAAAGAAUUUCGGCUAAGGAUGAGCUCGCGGCCUAUCAGCUUGUUGGUGGGGUAACGGCCUACCAAGGCGACGACGGGUAGCCGGCCUGAGAGGGCGACCGGCCACACCUGGGACUGAGACACGGCCCAGACUCCUACGGGAGGCAGCAGUGGGGAAUCUUGCGCAAUGGGCGAAAGCCUGACGCAGCAACGCCGCGUGGAGGACGAAUGCUUUCUGAGUUGUAAACUCCUUUCAGCAGGGACGAUUGUGACGGUACCUGCAGAAGAAGCACCGGCCAACUACGUGCUAGCAGCCGC